rnacentral:rRNA from 1 species
ACAUGCCUACAACAUAGCAUUAAUGCAUCGAAUCCCAUUAUAACUCUACAGUUAACCAUGCUUAGGCUUCAGGCUAGAGUAGUACCGGGAUGGGUGACCGCUCGAGAAGUCCUAUUGUUUUACAUGCC